GCCGGUGUAGCUCAAUGGAUAGAGCAAUCCCGUCCUAAGGGAGAGGUUGUGAGUUCGACUCUCGCCACCGGCACAA
rnacentral:tRNA from 4 species